AGAGUUUGAUCCUGGCUCAGGACGAACGCUGGCGGCGUGCCUAAUACAUGCAAGUCGAACGAAGCUUUCUUUCACCGAAUGCUUGCAUUCACCGAAAGAAGCUUAGUGGCGAACGGGUGAGUAACACGUAGGCAACCUGCCCAAAAGAGGGGGAUAACACUUGGAAACAGGUGCUAAUACCGCAUAACCAUGAACACCGCAUGAUGUUCGUGUAAAAGACGGCUUUUGCUGUCGCUUUUGGAUGGGCCUGCGGCGUAUUAACUUGUUGGUGGGGUAACGGCCUACCAAGGUGAUGAUACGUAGCCGAACUGAGAGGUUGAUCGGCCACAUUGGGACUGAGACACGGCCCAAACUCCUACGGGAGGCAGCAGUAGGGAAUCUUCCACAAUGGACGAAAGUCUGAUGGAGCAACGCCGCGUGAAUGAAGAAGGCCUUCGGGUCGUAAAAUUCUGUUGUCAGAGAAGAAUGUGCGUGAGAGUAACUGUUCACGUAUUGACGGUAUCUGACCAGAAAGCCACGGCUAACUACGUGCCAGCAGCCGCGGUAAUACGUAGGUGGCAAGCGUUGUCCGGAUUUAUUGGGCGUAAAGGGAACGCAGGCGGUCUUUUAAGUCUGAUGUGAAAGCCUUCGGCUUAACCGAAGUAGUGCAUUGGAAACUGGAAGACUUGAGUGCAGAAGAGGAGAGUGGAACUCCAUGUGUAGCGGUGAAAUGCGUAGAUAUAUGGAAGAACACCAGUGGCGAAAGCGGCUCUCUGGUCUGUAACUGACGCUGAGGUUCGAAAGCGUGGGUAGCAAACAGGAUUAGAUACCCUGGUAGUCCACGCCGUAAACGAUGAGUGCUAAGUGUUGGAGGGUUUCCGUCCUUCAGUGCUGCAGCUAACGCAUUAAGCACUCCGCCUGGGGAGUACGGUCGCAAGACUGAAACUCAAAGGAAUUGACGGGGGCCCGCACAAGCGGUGGAGCAUGUGGUUUAAUUCGAAGCAACGCGAAGAACCUUACCAGGUCUUGACAUCUUCUGACAAUUCCAGAGAUGGAACGUUCCCUUCGGGGACAGAAUGACAGGUGGUGCAUGGUUGUCGUCAGCUCGUGUCGUGAGAUGUUGGGUUAAGUCCCGCAACGAGCGCAACCCUUAUUGUCAGUUGCCAUCAUUAAGUUGGGCACUCUGGCGAGACUGCCGGUGACAAACCGGAGGAAGGUGGGGAUGACGUCAAAUCAUCAUGCCCCUUAUGACCUGGGCUACACACGUGCUACAAUGGACGGUACAACGAGUCGCUAACUCGCGAGGGCAAGCUAAUCUCUUAAAGCCGUUCUCAGUUCGGAUUGCAGGCUGCAACUCGCCUGCAUGAAGUCGGAAUCGCUAGUAAUCGCGAAUCAGCAUGUCGCGGUGAAUACGUUCCCGGGCCUUGUACACACCGCCCGUCACACCAUGAGAGUUUGUAACACCCAAAGUCGGUGGGGUAACCUUUUGGAGCCAGCCGCCUAAGGUGGGACAGAUGAUUGGGGUGAAGUCGGAACAAGGUA
rnacentral:rRNA from 1 species